rnacentral:lncRNA from 1 species
AAACAACAGUAAUAUUGAGGGAAUAAAUAGAACAUUUUGUCUUUCUAAAUGAAUUAUUGAGCAAAGCUGUGUAAAUAUAUGUAACAUGCAUGAAUAUAUAUUCCAAUACCUCUAAUAAUUGUAGACAAAAUGUUGUCAUUGUCAUAAACCUAUAUAUACAUUGAAUGUGGGAAUAUGUCAAUUAGUUCAUGUCAUGCAUGGUCAGUUUUACAAAUAUGUCUUUUGAAAUGCCCUUCAUGCAGAAUUAUUGGCAUUGCUCCAUGGUUUGAACCUAGCAAAGGAAAAAUAAAGUAAAACAGUUGCUGGUGGAAACUGACUCUCAGGUAUUGCUUAAUACAUUAAAAGGAAAUAAUCUUAUUUACUCACAUAUUUACACUGAUUAAUUACAGGUCACUAAUCCAGCAGAUGGAGGAGGCAUCUCUGCAACACAUUCAGAGGGAGGCUAACUGAUCAGUGGCGGACCUACUAGCAGAUUACGGAAGGACAACAAAGGAUCCAAAUAUGAAUAUAAACCAGCUUAGCCUUUUUGAUGCAUCUCCUUCCUUUAUAUUAAAAACUCUCAAAAGAGAUUCUACUGGAACUACAUCGCUUAGAUCAAUUCCUUUUUUGUAAUGGAUAAACCUUAUAUUAAAUAAAUAAAAUCCUUUCAUUCUUAAGCAAAAAAAAAAAUGUCUUUUGGGUUAUAAUGCCACAUCGAAUUCCAAAAACGUGCGUACUAUGUGAACUUAAAAUUUA